rnacentral:rRNA from 1 species
CGGAACGGGUGAGUAACGCGUGAGGAACCUGCCUCAAAGAGGGGGACAACAGUUGGAAACGACUGCUAAUACCGCAUAAGCCCACGGCUCGGCAUCGGGCAGAGGGAAAAGGAGUGAUCCGCUUUGAGAUGGCCUCGCGUCCGAUUAGCUAGUUGGUGAGGUAACGGCCCACCAAGGCAACGAUCGGUAGCCGGACUGAGAGGUUGAACGGCCACAUUGGGACUGAGACACGGCCCAG